CCUACGGGGGGCUGCAGUGGGGAAUAUUGGACAAUGGGCGAAAGCCUGAUCCAGCCAUGCCGCGUGUGUGAAGAAGGCCUUCGGGUUGUAAAGCACUUUCAGUGGGGAAGAAAGCCUUGGGGCUAAUACCCUCGAGGAAGGACAUCACCCACAGAAGAAGCACCGGCUAACUCCGUGCCAGCAGCCGCGGUAAUACGGAGGGUGCGAGCGUUAAUCGGAAUUACUGGGCGUAAAGCGCGCGUAGGCGGUCUGAUAAGCCGGUUGUGAAAGCCCCGGGCUCAACCUGGGAACGGCAUCCGGAACUGUCAGGCUAGAGGGCAGGAGAGGAGGGUAGAAUUCCCGGUGUAGCGGUGAAAUGCGUAGAGAGCGGGAGGAAGACCAGUGGCGAAGGCGGCCUUCUGGACUGACACUGACGCUGAGGUGCGAAAGCGUGGGUAGCAAACAGGAUUAGAUACCCGGGUAGUC
rnacentral:rRNA from 1 species